rnacentral:rRNA from 1 species
AGCAGUAGCCACGGGAAUACAGAGGGUGCAAGCGUUAAUCGGAAUUACUGGGCGUAAAGCGCGCGUAGGUGGUUUGUUAAGUUGGAUGUGAAAUCCCCGGGCUCAACCUGGGAACUGCAUCCAAAACUGGCAGGCUAGAGUAGGGCAGAGGGUGGUGGAAUUUCCUGUGUAGUGGUGAAAUGCGUAGAUAUAGGAAGGAACACCAGUGGCGAAGGCGACCACCUGGGCUCAUACUGACACUGAGGUGCGAAAGCGUGGGGAGCAAACAGGAUUAGAUACCCGAGUAGUCCCUGUCUCUUAUAC